rnacentral:rRNA from 1 species
GACAGAGGCCUCGAGCGUUAGGCGGAAUCACUGGGCUUAAAGCGUGUGUAGGCGGAUCGUUAAGUACCUUGUGAAAUCCCACGGCUCAACCGUGGAACGGCUGGGUAUACUGGCGGUCUUGGGCCAUUCAGGGGCGACUGGAACAAGCGGUGGAGCGGUGAAAUGCGUAGAUAUCGCUUGGAACGCCGAAGGUGAACACAGGUCGCUGGGGAUGUGCCGACGCUGAGACACGAAAGCCAGGGGAGCAAACGGG